AUACUUACCCGGUAUAGAGAUCAACCGUGAUCAACAAGGCGAUUCCCUCAGGACCUCCAUUGCAAUUCGGUUGGGCUGACAUCUGCGAUUAUCUCUAAUGCAGAUAUCUUGAGCGCGUAAUUAUUGGUAGUCGGGACUGCGUACGGCGCUGUACUAA